AGCCUUGCUCCACUGCGUCGUCCUCCCAGACGCUAGGCCUCCCCGUCGGCCGGCUCGGGUGCGACGCUACACUGAGGACCAUGACUUCUCGCGACUGACCACCGGCAAGAGGCGCAGUUCAAAUCACUCGACCAUUUCUUCGCAACGCGGCGGCCAACGCAGCAAUUGGAACGCCAUCGCCCGUAUGACAAAAUGCCUAGGCAUCCACAUCGUUGCCGCGUUGCCAAGGACGUCGGUGGAAGCGCCCUGUGUCCACCCGUUGUGGGAGUCAGUCGCGUGCUGCGCAGAUGCUCCGUUACCGGCUCGUCAGCGAUGGUUGUGGCUGCCCCUGUUGUGACUGAUGGCGGAGAAGGACCAAGUGUGUCCGCAGUGACAAUCGCAGUGGCAAUUAGUGGCGUGCGCGGAGUCACCUUCUCUGCUCACUAGUGACGCCGCAGUCAUCGGCCCGUUCUCCGCGGUCCAGAGGAAGUCACUGUGCGGUUUUGGAAGUUCCUACAUCGUAUCCCACUUAAUGAACUUCAAGGGCGGCGCACCUGAGGGACACUGACGUUGCUGCCUUUGUACGGAUUGUAUACGUCGGUGCAAGUGGACGGCGUUCACCCGUCGUGGCAAGUCAGUCGCGUGCUGUGAAGUUGCGCCGUCAUUUGCUUGUCAGCGAAGGUUGCAGUCAUCGGCGCACCCCUGGUGACGCUGAGAUGGAGAUGGAUUUGGUGCGCCCGUUUGUGGCAAUCGGUGGCGUGCCGCGGCGUCACCUUCUCUGCUUACUAGUGGCGCCGCAGUCAUCGGCCCGUUCUCCGUGGACCAGGGGUGCCGAGUUCGUGCAUCUGCUGUGACAAUCGGUUGUGUGUUGCGCUGCAACGUUUGCCUCAGCCGACGCAUUCUCCUUUUGUCUCGCAGCUAUCGGUACUGGCGCCGUAACUGAGGGGCACCAACGUUGCUGCCUUCGUACGGAUUGUAUACGUCGGUGCAAGCGGGCGACGUUCACCCGCCGUGGCCGUCAGUCGCGUGCUGUGAAGUUGCGCCGUCAUUUGCUCGUCAGCGAAGGUUGCAGUCCAGCAGCAGCUGGAGGUGGUGAUACUUCAACUGCUGCAGUGAAGCAGCUGAGUGAUGAGCGAAACUUCCUAAAGUCUCAGCUGCCGACUAUGGAGGAUCGAAUCAAGGCGGCCUACCUGAGGGACACUGACGUUGCUGCCUUUGUACGGAUUGUAUACGUCGGUGCAAGCGGGCGACGUUCACCCGUCGUGGCAAGUCAGUCGCGUGCGGUGAAGUAGCACAGUCAUUUGCUCGUCAGCGAAGGUUGCAGUCACCGGCACAGCCCUGGUGACACUAAAGUUAAUCCACGUACGGAGAUGGACACAGCACUCCACGGCUGUCGCAAUCGGUCACGUGCGUGCCGCCAUCACAUGGUCGCUCGGUGUGUUUCUGCUUCCCGGUUGUCACCACUAUUGAACGGAGCAUCGAUCGUGAGGCAAAUACAGUCGUUCUUGAGGAGUGUGCGUUCUGGAAGUGGUGCAUAGAUGGUACCUUCCCUGCAUCCAGAUAUGGUUUUUGCUCAGUGGUGCACAGUCUGCGUUCAGUUUGUAAAGCGCGGCCUCCUGCGGCAUCCAACGUCGGGGCGGACGCUUUCAUUUCUUAUUCCCGACGACAGGAGCAUUGACCAAGGGAGAGAUAAUCCCAGACAAUUAGGGCCAAGGAGAUCAAUACCCAUGGUGAGGACAUUGCGGGAACGUUUGCUUUAACUUGCCCGUUUGCAUGCAAAGUUGAGGAUUGUAUAGUAUACGAGUCCAAAAUCGCUUGUGUGGUGAGGGUGAGUGUCAUCCAGCAACAG